rnacentral:rRNA from 1 species
CUGGGAUUAGAUACCCCACUAUGCUUAGCCCUAAAUAUAGAUAAAACGUUACCUUUAACUUUAUCCGCCCGGGUACUACGAGCAUUAGCUUAAAACCCAAAGGACUUGGCGGUGCUUCAGACCCAUCUAGAGGAGCCUGUCCUAUAACCGAUAAUCCCCGUUUAACCUCACCUCUCCUUGCUCCUUUCCGCCUAUAUACCGCCGUCGCAAGCUUACCCUGUGAAGGGUCAAUAGUAAGCUCAAUUGGCACAGCCCAGAACGUCAGGUCGAGGUGUAGCUUACGGAGGGGAAAGAGAUGGGCUACAUUCCCUGGCACAGGGCAAACGAACAAUGUACUGAAAUAUACAUUUGAAGGUGGAUUUAGUAGUAAGCAGAGAAUAGAGUGCUCCGCUGAAACCGGCACUGAAGCGUGUACACACCGCCCGUC